UAGGGAAUAUUGGACAAUGGUUGCAAGACUGAUCCAGCCAUGCCGCGUGCAGGAAGAAGGCUUUCUGAGUUGUAAACUGCUUUUGCCAGGGGAUAAAAAGCCCGUGCGCGGGAAAUUGAAGGUACCUGGUGAAUAAGCCACGGCUAACUACGUGCCAGCAGCCGCGGUAAUACGUAGGUGGCAAGCGUUGUCCGGAUUUAUUGGGUUUAAAGGGUGCGUAGGCGGUGUCCUAAGUCAGUUGUGAAAUACGGCAGCUUAACUGUCGAGGUGCAAUUGAUACUGGGACACUUGAGUACUGAUGAGGUAAGCGGAAUGGACGGUGUAGCGGUGAAAUGCUUAGAUAUCGUCCAGAACACCGAUAGCGAAGGCAGCUUACUAAGGAGUAACUGACGCUGAGGCACGAAAGUGUGGGGAUCAAACAGG
rnacentral:rRNA from 1 species